rnacentral:miRNA from 1 species
UUGGCCCUAUUCCCAGG